UAGGGAGGGGGCUAGCGUUGUUCGGAAUUACUGGGCGUAAAGCGCACGUAGGCGGCUUUGUAAGUUAGAGGUGAAAGCCCAGGGCUUAACCCUGGAAUUGCCUUUAAGACUGCAUCGCUAGAAUCGUGGAGAGGUGAGUGGAAUUCCGAGUGUAGAGGUGAAAUUCGUAGAUAUCGAGAAGAACACCGGUGGCGAAGGCGGCCAUCUGGACGGUGACUGACGCUGAGACGCGACAGCGUGGGGAGCAAACAGG
rnacentral:rRNA from 1 species